UCGUGAUUUGAUAAGAUUGCAAUUGUUGCAGUUCUUCAGGGCUCCACUGCAGUGAGCACUAACUGCAAUUCUCUCUCGAGUCAAUUAGUGGGAUACUGGAAAGUUAACAUCAAAAUCAAAGAACUUAUUGACCAGCAUGAUUGCAGCCGUGCAACAAGUGUGUAGCAGAUGUUGGAGGCCUAUGGUUAAGCAAUCCCCUGGUCUGGAUGCACAAUUUCAAGCGUGUCCUGCUGGCACACAUCUGAAGCUGCUAUUUCAUAGUGUUUCUGAACUAGGAGCCACCAGUGGCCCAAGAGCUGUCACGCUCCAUCUCGGUGAAGACCCACCUCCUUUCGUGGUUCCUCUCUCGCACUGGUGCUGAGGUUUCCAGUGAAGCACAAGAAUAGCUGUGAGUCUGAGCUGAAUCCUGCGAUGGGAAAUGCUGAUUGUCUGCACUUUCUUCCUCCUAUUACUGAAAAGAUUAUGAAAAAGUAUGUUUGCAUCCACGUUUCCAAUAUAUUUAUUAAUAUGAAAAGUUUUUGGAGUCCAACACUGCAAAAGCAAAGCAUGGGAAGGCAGGCGUAAAAUGUACUGGUUCAUGUCGGUGGCAGCUGCAGUUUCAUUUCUGUGGCAGAGUGAUAAAUGACAGGAAUUCACAAUUUUCUCCCAACUCCCUUGGAAGAUGUAUUCUAUAGAAUGAAAAUAGAAGCACUGAAUUAUUAAGAAUCAUCCCCUUUACAUAUGAAAAUGGUAUGGUGUCAUGUUAAAUACACCAUAUUAAGAGGUCAAUUAGAGACCUAUUUUGAGUUAAUGGAAUUAGUUCUUUUUUUAUUUUACAUUUUAAAUGCAAUCUUUCAAAGUGUACUGGAGAUCGAAGGAAUAGAAAAUAGAGUAAUCCAGUUAAAGGCAGUUAAUGCUUGCAGAAUGCCUGAGAGCAAUGCUGAUGGGUGAGAGGGUGUGAUGGGGCAAGGGCUGAGCAGACAGCACCCUUUUCUUCCCAUCUGCAUUGACUUCCCUGUGUGUAACUGAGAAAAGCUACUUUUUUUAGUACAUUCCCUAUAUCUGAAUAGACCAUAAAACAAGGGAAAAUAUGCUUGGGCCCUGGCUCCCAACCACAGCCCUCAUUUCACUAAAUUUUACAGUACUUUCCUUAAAUCCUAUUUGAUUCAGUGGAAACUGAGUAUAUGCAAAAGUCCUGAGUGCAAUAUUGCAACUGGUCAAGGUACAAUUGUUGCAUUAGUCACUGGACAGUUGUUCAGCCACAGAUUUACGUUGGAAUCAGCUCCAAAGGGAAAUAGCUAGAGAGAGCUUCUCUACUCUUCAAAGGAUUUGCUGCUCCCAUGCUGCCUCUGGAAUAUUAAUGCACAUGGAAAUUGUCCCGUCCCCGCCAUGUUACAAGAGAGGAGAUGAUGGCUGCAAAAGGGGAAGCCUCUGGACCAAAGGACAAGUCAAUAAAGGCGACACUAGGAGUAUUUUGGCAUCCAAGGACAGUCCUGCCCACACAUCCCCCAGGACCCCUGCUAGUCUUCUCCCUCCACCCUGCCCAAGCACACAUCCAUUUUGGCAUUUGCACUAGGGACCUGGAUUCAGCUGGAAAGUCAACCCGAGAAAAAAACCCAAUAGGCUGGUUUUCUUCCAGCUGACUUAUUCUUGCCCAUGUGGCAUAAAUCGCUACCAAAAUAGAUAUAUAUCUAUAGUCUCCUUUUGCCUGGUCUCUAGAUAAGCUGCACACAGCACUUCUGUAUUAGGAACACUGUUUACAGUAUAGACCUGCGGGAUGGCAACUUUUGUCGCCAGAGUUACUGCUUAGCUAAAGAGAUGAUACGUACAGUGCAUGAAAGGGGACACAUUUAUGCUGUACAGAAGAGCCUGGCAAUAGUUUAGCUCACACACGCACACUGCCGCUGCAGCAUCGGCACUGAAGAGACUAGACCCUUCUCCAAACAGUACCACUGUACCAGUGCAGUCCCCGUGGCUCCAUUUCUGUAGCAGAGCAGGCAUGAAUUCCUCUUGAUUCAUCUUGUCUGGUCAUAGUUCAGGGUUCCAAAAUGUUUGGGCCAAGGGUUUCUUUUAUUUUGGUGAUAUGCUCCCUGCAGAGCCAAUUAUUGGUACCUAACAAAGAAAACCACCAGAUCCUAAGCAACCCCAAUGCUUGUAUAACGGUAAUUUGAAAACUGUAUGGGGCAUAAGAUUAAGAAUGUUGCAUUUCCAGUUGGUUGAACCGUGUAACUGGGUAGAGCUCUUCUCUCUGUAGCUGCUGGGACUAAAGGGUUGAUGUCAAUGUUAACAUUAGGAGGAGACUUGUCAUCCAGGACUUUGCCACAGAGCCCCCAUCGCUACCUCUUGCUACUGUGGAGGCCUGAUCCUGCACUGGAGAGAUGCCGGCAACCAACCCAGCCCUCCCGGCUUGGGAAUUCGAGCCACUCACUUUCCUGUAAGCUGGGCCACAAGACCGCUCAUUUCCUGGCACUUUCUGACUCUUGAUCUUAUUCCACUGAUUUUUCCUUUACAAACAACAGGGGGAAAUCUGGGAAAGCUGUGGAAAACAGAAAGGAGAAAUAGGUCACGCUAGAAAUUCUGAAACCUCAGCAAAGCUCUUGUUUAAAGUGAUUAAUUCAGUGACCUCUGACCACAAGGCAGACCUUCAAUUUGCCAGGAGAGGAUAAAAGAGUCAAGAUCUGAAUGAAUAAAGAAGGGAUGAAGGGUGAGUUAAUCCAGUAACUGUGAAGGAGCAUUGGAAAUAAAAAUACUCAGCAUAUA